UACGUAGGUGACAAGCGUUGUCCGGAUUUACUGGGCGUAAAGAGCGCGCAGGCGGUCGUUCAAGUCGAGUGUGAAAGCCCCCGGCUCAACUGGGGAGGGUCAUUCGAUACUGAUCGACUCGAAGGCAGGAGAGGGUAGUGGAAUUCCCGGUGUAGUGGUGAAAUGCGUAGAUAUCGGGAGGAACACCAGUGGCGAAGGCGACUACCUGGCCUGUUCUUGACGCUGAGGCGCGAAAAGCUAGGGGGAGCAAAACGGGG
rnacentral:rRNA from 1 species